UCAAUAACAAUUCAACCAUCAAUUGAUUAUGUUAUGUUAAAAACUGUUCCCAAAUGCAAAUUUUGCGAAGCCAAAAAAUUUGAAUACGAACCACCCGCAUUCUGUUGUCGCAAAGGCACUAUUAAGCUGAUUUCACAUCAAGUACCACAAGAGUUAAUAACUCUGUGUCUAGGAAAUACUGAAGAAUCAAAGCAUUUUCGAACCUACAUAAGAACAUAUAAUAAUAUAUUUGCGUUCACAUCCCUGGGAGUAAGUUAUGACAAAGAGUUGGCGAAAAGGAAUAAAGGUAUUUAUACAUUUCGAGUUCAAGGACAAAUGUAUCAUUUCAUGAAUGACCUGAUACCAAGUAAUGAAAAAGGAAAAUAUCUACAAUUAUAUUUCUAUGAUAAUGAAAAUGAGGUGAGCAAUCGAAUGGCAUGUUCCAAUAAAUUAACGAGGAUACUAUGAAAAAUUUAAUGGAAAUAUUAAAAACCAAUCCUUAUACUACGUUUUUGAAAUCCUUAAUAAAUAUACCACAAUUAUCAGAUUUCUACAUUGCGCUUAAGUGUGAUGUUGGUUUAGAGAAACGAAUAUACAACCUACCAACUACGUCAGAAGUGGCAGGAAUAUGGGUAGAACAAGAUACCAAUAAUUGCAUCCCUACACCAGAUAUCCGAAUAUAUACAAAAAGUGAUAGAAGCCAGCUGGUAAAUUAUUAUUACGGAUGUUACGACCCAUUGCAAUAUCAAUUACUGUUCCCUUACGGUCAAAAUGGUUGGCAUUAUGGUAUUCAAAAAGUUAAGCCUUUACCUACCCCUUCCAGAACACAUCCGUAUUGUGAAUGCGAACAAUUGCCAUGUCUAACAAAUAUGACUUCAAUUGAUGGAUUCCUUGACAUGGAAGCUGAAGUGAUGCAAAAAGGCAAACGAAAAAGAGAAACAGUUUCCUGUCGUGAAUAUUAUUGUUAUCAGCACCAAAUUAGAGAUGAUGAAAAUAUAAUCAUACAUUCAGGACGAUUAUUUCAACAAUAUGCUGUAGACGAAUGGAUAAAAGUUGAAACUCAAAGAUUAGAUUUCGCUUUUUUCAAUCAAGAUUUAUUCAGGAUGGAUGUGUUAGCGGGACUUUUAGAUCUUUUGCGACGCGGUGAGAGAGAAGGCUCACAGGUAGGUAAAAACAGAAUACUUCCACUUAGCUUCACAGGAGGGCCAAGAGAUAUGCAUCGCCGGUAUAUGGAUGCUAUUGCAUUAGUACAACGUUUUGGAAUACCCGAUAUAUUUCUAACUAUAACAUGUAACCCUUCGUGGCCUGAAAUUCAAGAAAACUUGUUGUUGACAGAUGAGGCUCAGAAUAGACCCGAUUUAGUUAGCCGAAUAUUUCGAGCAAAACUAGAAGAUCUUAAAAAGGAUAUACUAAAAAGACAAAUAUUUGGUAAAGUUGCAGCAUUUAUGUACACGGGCGAAUUAAAAAAACGGGGACUUCCACAUGCUCAUUUUCUUAUUAUACUCGAUGAAAAAUACAAACUACUGACCCCUGAGGCAUAUGAUAAAUUUGUUUGCGCUGAAUUACCGGAUCCUAAAAGAAAUUCUGAUUUAUUUAUGCUUGUUACACAACACAUGCUACAUGGUCCUUGCGGUCAAUUAAAUCCAACAAGCCCCUGUAUGAAGAAAAAAAACGGUCAUUGUAAAUUUAAAUUUCCAAAAAAGUUUGCUGAACAGACAACUAAAGGAAAAAAUUCAUACCCUAUUUAUAGAAGACGAAAUACAGGAAAAUCUGUGGAAAUUAGAGGACAACUUUUUGAUAAUUCAUGGGUUGUUUCUUACAAUCCAUUCUUACUUAGUAAAUUUAAUUGUCAUAUAAAUGUGGAGAUUUGCUCUGAUAUUAAAGUUGUUAAGUGCAUUUACAAGUAUAUUUGCAAAGGACAUGAUAAAAUUGCAUUUCAUAUAUAUCCUAAUGAGACGAAUAUAGAAGUAGAUGAAAUAAAAGAAUAUCAAUCUGCUAGGUGGGUGUCACCACCUGAGGCUCUGUGGUUCAUAUUUGCUUUUCCUAUCAGUGAAAUGAUUCCAAAUGUAUACCAUCUUCAACUGCAUCUUGAUGGACAACAAAUUGUUUCCUUCAAAAAUACAGACAAUAUUAGUAGAAUUGUAAAUAAUCCUAUGAUUAAAAAAACGAAGUUAACUGAAUUUUUUAGAAUGAAUAACGAAAACGAAAAUGCUAUAACUUUGAAUUUAUUAUAUCGGGAAUUUCCAGAAUAUUUUGUAUGGUCCACCACAUACAAGAUGUGGUCACAUCGCCAACAAGGAUAUGCUAUUGGUAGAGUUAUGACAUGUCAUCCAACCGAAGGAGAAAGAUACUAUCUUAGAUUGCUCUUAAUGAACGUAAGAGGACCAAAAUCGUAUAAAAAUUUACGAACUGUAAACGGAAUGACUUGUGGCACGUUUAGAGAAGCUGCGGAAAAAAGAGGAUUAUUACUUUGCGAUAAUAAUUUAAUAGAAUGCAUGUCAGAAGCAGUAAGUUACCAAAUGCCACACAGUUUGAGACACUUAUUUGUUGUACUAUUAGUAUAUUGCAAUCCCGCUAAUCCAAGAGAGAUGUGGGAAAAAUUUGAAAUCCCGAUGUCUGAAGAUUUCAAAAAAUACCCAAACAUGCAUACGCGAGAAAUUCGUCACAAAGUAUUAAAUCAUAUUAAUGAUAUUCUUCAUUCAAUGGGUCGUGAUAUCAACGAAUUUGAACUAACUCAGGGCAAAAUUCAACCAUCUGCAACAGCCAAAGAAGCUAAAGAUGUACAUUUUGAAAGGAAUAUUAUCGUUACUGAACAAGAUUUACCAUUGCCAUAUAAACUAAACAUUGAACAAAAAAGAGCUUACAAUGUAAUCCUUGAUAGAAUAUUCUCAAAUAAACCCGGAGCAUUCUUCAUUGAUGGUCCGGGCGGAACUGAAAAAAACUUUUUAUAUUGUGCCUUAUUAGCUACAGUACGACAUAGAGGAUUUAUAGCAUUAGCGACUGCGAGUUCAGGUGUUGCUGCUUCACUUCUUCUCGGAGGCCGAAUUGCUCAUUUCCGAUUUAUAAUACCUAUUGAUGUUGAUGGAAAUUUUAGUUGCAAUAUUAGCAAACAAAGUUCAUUGGAAUCGUUGAUUCGAGAUGCAAAACUAAUAGUAUGGGACGAAAUUUCAAUGGCAAAAAAAGAAAUGGUUGAAGCACUAGAUUUGCUCCUUAGAGAUUUAAUGGAAACAACUAUGUUGUUCGGCGGAAAGGUUGUUGUAUUCAGUGGCGAUUUUAGACAAACUCUUCCCGUUGUCUGUGGUGGACAAAGGGAAGAUUUUUUUCGUGAAAGCUUAUUAUGUUCUGAAAUUUGGCAUCAACUUGAAAAAUUACAACUGUCCGAAAAUAUGCGUGCGAAAACAGACCCAGCUUUUUGUGAAUAUUUGAUGAGAAUUGGUAAUGGAAAAGAAAACAAAAAUGAUAAGAACAAAAUAGAAAUUCCCCGUCCUCUGAUCAUACCUUUCACCACUGAAAAAGAUUCCUUGAAUCAUCUAUUUAAAGUUACUUAUCCUGAUUUAUAUUUAACUCAUUCAAAUAUUUCUUUUAUUACUUCUCGCGCAAUUCUAACUACAAAGAACGACUUCGUUGAUGAAAUAAAUGAUAUGCUAAUUGCUCAAUUUCCAGCUGAUGAAAAAGUCUAUUUAGCUACCGAUGAAACAAUUGAUCCAAAAGAUCAAAGUGAAUAUGACGACUUUUUGCACGCUUUAAAUCCUCCUGGUUUACCUCCUUAUAAAUUGUGUCUAAAAAAAAUUGUCCAAUUAUAUUAUUAAGAAAUUUGAAUCCCUGCGAAGGUUUGUGCAAUGGGACACGAUUAAUAUGUAAUGACUUCAAAUCUCAUGUUAUUAGUGCUACAAUAUCCAGUGGUGAUUUUAAAAAUACACAUGUAUUCAUUCCGCGAAUUCCACUAUUAACAUCAGAAGAUGAAAAACUACCCUUUCAAUUUAAAAGAACACAAUUUCCGAUGCGGUUAUGUUUCGCCAUGACUAUAAAUAAAGCUCAAGGCCAAACAUUAGAUUUUGUUGGCAUUUAUUUGCGAGAACAUGUAUUUUCUCAUGGUCAAUUGUACGUUGCUUUAUCAAGAGCUAAAGGUUCUAACUGUGUCAAGAUAUUAAUUAGACCGGUUAUAGCUGACGAUGAUGAUGAUCACUCCACAUAUAAUGUAGUUUAUGAUGAAAUUAUUGAAAAAGCUUUUUCCAUAACUUAGACCAUCAUUCCUAAUAGUAAGUGUGAUGUACAACUUAUUUACUUUUUGGAUUCUUUGAUUUUGUAUUAUAAUCAUUCUAACAAUCUUACGUUUGCUCAUUAUUAUAAUUGUGAUGCGUUAUGAUUGUCGAUUAUGUCUAGAUGGCAGAAAGAUUCAACAUCAAUGCGAUUACUCCAGAAACGGAAGAAUGGACCUGCAAGAUACAAGUAGUUGAUAAAGGCAGAUCUAGAGAUAACAGAGAGAAAACGAAAAAAUAUCAGCUGAUGGUUUUGCAAGAUGAAGAGAUAAUCUUUAAAGGAUUCAUAAGUUUGCCAAUAGUAAUUAAGUUAAUAUUAUCCAAAUUGUGCCUUAUUUUGUUACAGGAAAAUCAAGUGGAAUGUGUUAUAUUCAAUGCAGAGAUAAUGCAUUUUGCAGAUCUGUUUCGCCCUUUCCAUACUUACUCGGUGUCAGUUGCACAAGUCAAAGAAUCAAACUAUAUGUACGGAAAUCCAAUUAACAAAUUUACAUGGACAAUUGAUAGUUGUACCAUUUUUGAGCCAAUAGAAACUGUUAAUCCUCCAGAAGAGCCACUACCUCUGCCAACGCGCCUAAAUCUUACACCAUUUGACAACUUUGAAUAUCAACCCGAAGGAUCUGAAUUCGAUGUGCUUGCCAUCGUGCUCAACGCAAGCCCCUCAACCUAUGCUUCAAAUGGGCGGAGAAUUCAAGAUUUUAUCAUCAUGGAUGAUCAACGAUAAGUUUAUCCUCUGUUAGCUUUGUUUUGGGCAAGCUUUCCGGUGCCGAUUCCGGUUCUCAUCCGCGUUCCGCUACCUUUUCGUGUUAUCCAUCAAACAAUCAAAUUUCAGAUAUUUAGAGAUCCAGGAGUCUCGGGUCACGCUAGCGAGUGCUGAUUUGUCUUCUAGCAGGCUUUCGGAGUUGACUACGUAGCUGCUUGGCGUUUGCAGCCCAGUGCUUCUCCUUCCUAUCUUUAUUCCACUUUGUAUUAGCUUUGUUUCAGACUUUGUUGUUUUUUCAUAUUUAUAGACGAGUUUUAGUUGCUCA